rnacentral:rRNA from 1 species
AUUGAACGCUGGCGGCAGGCCUAACACAUGCAAGUCGAACGAGUGGCGGACGGGUGAGUAAUGUCUGGGAAACUGCCUGAUGGAGGGGGAUAACUACUGGAAACGGUAGCUAUUACCGCAUACCAUCAGAUGUGCCCAGAUGGGAUUCGCUAGUUGGUGGGGUAACGGCUCACCAAGGCAACGAUCCCUAGCGGGUCUGAGAGGAUGACCGGCCACACUGGAACUGAGACACGGGCCAGACUCCUACGGGAGGCAGCAGUGGGGAAUAUUGCACAAUGGGCGCAAGCCUGAUGCAGCAACGCCGCGUGUAUGAUGAAGGCCUUCGGGUUGUAAAGUACUUUCAUCGGGGAGGCGUUACCCGCAGAAGAAGCACUGGCUAACUCCGUGCCAGCAGCCGCGGUAAUAC